UCGAGAAUCUUCGGCAAUGGACGCAAGUCUGACCGAGCGAUGCCGCGUGCGGGAUGAAGGCCUUCGGGUUGUAAACCACGAAAGUAAGGAGGAAGGCUUCGUGAAGAGCGGAGUUUGACCAAUUUACAGUAAGGACGGGCUAAGUUCGUCCCAGCAGCCGCGGUAAGACGAACCGUCCAAACGUUAUUCGGAAUUAUUGGGCUUAAAGGGUGCGUAGGCGGUGCUGUAAGUCAGGUGUGAAAUCCCACGGCUCAACCGUGGAUCUGCGCUUGAUACUGCAGUGCUUGAGGGAGACAGAGGUAAGCGGAACUGAUGGUGGAGCGGUGAAAUGCGUUGAUAUCAUCAGGAACACCAGUGGCGAAAGCGGCUUACUGGGUCUCUUCUGACGCUGAGGCACGAAAGCUAGGGUAGCGAACGGGAUUAGAUACCCCCGUAGUCC
rnacentral:rRNA from 1 species